UAAACUCUGUUAAUCCGGUCAGUGAACUUUUAUAUAUUUUCCACUUGGAUAUGAAUAUCCCAUUUUAAUCCUAGCGAGCUACUAUUAUCCCAUUUAAUGUUUGAACUAAAAUAUUUGCCUCAAAAAAAAAAAAAAAAUAUAAAAAACAAAGCAAUAACAAAAAUGCAAUAUCCAAUUCGAGUACUCGAGUUCCAUCAUCAAAUCAAAUUGUGGAAUGAGAAGUAAAAUUAAACAAAAACUCUCUUGCACUCACGGAAAUAUUAUUAUUAAAUGCACAAGAGGAUAGAUGCGAUAUAUUCUCUUUCUCUAUGCAAAAAAUAUAUAUAUACAAAAAAAAAAAGGAUAUCAAAAUCGGUGGGUGUGAAAAUGAAAACCCCAUGGGAAACCCCACACGAAGGAUUAUAUUGUGUGUUGUGUAUUGUUAAGCCGUGUGAAUUCUCGCGCAUUAAAAUUGCGGCCGGACAUUUCGAAUGUAAAUUAAAAUUCAUUGAUUCAAUCCCAGUUCAGCAGCAGCGCGGACUUCUCAUUCUCCAUUGCCCAGGAGCAGAUAGAUAGCAAAGCAAUUUGUUAAAGCAACUACAUCCUUUUUAAGUGUGCCGAGGUGGAGGUUAUAAUUUGUCUUUAAAUUUGAAUUUCAGGUAUAUUCAGCUGUGAAAUUGGAUGGAUUCUCCAUUAAUUUGUUAAUUUGUUUUUUAUUUUCAAUAAAAUUCUUUUAUUUUUUAUUUAAUUAUAUCAAAAAGAAAUAUUAUUCAGUUGAAUGGGAAA